UACGGAGGGUGCGAGCGUUGUCCGGAAUCAUUGGGCGUAAAGGGCGCGUAGGUGGCCCGGUCAGUCCGUGGUGAAAGCGCGGGGCUCAACCCCGCGUCGGCCAUGGAUACUGCUGGGCUGGAGCACUGUAGAGGCAGGCGGAAUUCCGGGUGUAGCGGUGGAAUGCGUAGAGAUCCGGAAGAACACCGGUGGCGAAGGCGGCCUGCUGGGCAGUUGCUGACACUGAGGCGCGAUAGCGUGGGGAGCAAACAGG
rnacentral:rRNA from 1 species